rfam:Advenella kashmirensis WT001 TKWG_104, whole genome shotgun sequence.
CCGAUAUAAUCUAGCCAUCACUGGGGAGUAGCCGCUCAUUUUCCUGAGGUUUACGUCAACAUACUUGAUGCAUGCAUCAUGGCGUAAACAGCGAUAUCGCUUGGCAAGACCUUUGAUCACUUUUUUCCGUUCAGACCGGAGGAAAAGGUGAUCAUUCGUCUAUUGUCCGGUCGCGGUAUUGA